UCCAGAUUUUGGCUCUUUAACAUUUAUAAUUCGGCAGCCUGUAUUUCCUCAUUCCAAAUAAAGUUACUUUCUCGUCUAAUCUUGUAUCAGUAAUUUGGAAUUCUUUUUUUAAAGGACGAUCCAAAUGGAAGAAAUUUUAACAUCAACAAAACCACAUGAUGCUGAAUACUUCAUCCGCAUUGGCCUCAGUUUCCUCACCUGUAAAAUGGGCGCCAAUGACACCAGCCAUGUACCUAGUACCUCCUGUGCUGGACCCUGAAGGGACUCAGAUACGCCCCAGUGGAGAAGAAUGUUAAUAAAUGAUACCUGUGUGAACAGCCUCCUGACCACUGUUGGUUUCUGAGUUCCUAUCGGUCUUGGCUAUCGUCUCUGUCAGUCUUGGAGGAUGGAAGGAAAGUUCACAAACGCUGAUAUCAACUAAUUCUAGAGAAAGAAGGUAUGUAGAGAUAUUCUUGUGAGUUUUUGUUGUUGUUGUUGUUGAUGACAUAUAUCUAAAGAGCCUAAAACAUAUUCUAAGAU
rnacentral:lncRNA from 1 species